rnacentral:rRNA from 1 species
GAUGAACGCUGGCGGCGUGCCUAAUACAUGCAAGUCGAGCGAACAGACGAGGAGCUUGCUCCUCUGAUGUUAGCGGCGGACGGGUGAGUAACACGUGGAUAACCUACCUAUAAGACUGGGAUAACUUCGGGAAACCGGAGCUAAUACCGGAUAACAUGUUGAACCGCAUGGUUCAACAGUGAAAGACGGUCUUGCUGUCACUUAUAGAUGGAUCCGCGCCGCAUUAGCUAGUUGGUAAGGUAACGGCUUACCAAGGCAACGAUGCGUAGCCGACCUGAGAGGGUGAUCGGCCACACUGGAACUGAGACACGGUCCAGACUCCUACGGGAGGCAGCAGCAGGGAAUCUUCCGCAAUGGGCGAAAGCCUGACGGAGCAACGCCGCGUGAGUGAAGAAGGUCUUCGGAUCGUAAAACUCUGUUAUUAGGGAAGAACAAAUGUGUAAGUAACUAUGCACGUCUUGACGGUACCUAAUCAGAAAGCCACGGCUAACUACGUG